UACGGAGGAUGCAAGCGUUAUCCGGAAUGAUUGGGCGUAAAGCGUCCGCAGGUGGCUAUGUAAGUCUGCUGUUAAAGAGUGAGGCUCAACCUCAUAAGAGCAGUGGAAACUACAUGGCUAGAGUGCGUUCGGGGCAGAGGGAAUUCCUGGUGUAGCGGUGAAAUGCGUAGAGAUCAGGAAGAACACCGGUGGCGAAAGCGCUCUGCUAGACCGCAACUGACACUGAGGAGCGAAAGCGUGGGGAGCGAACAGG
rnacentral:rRNA from 1 species